UUUACGGAGAGUUUGAUCCUGGCUCAGGAUGAACGCUGGCGGCGUGCUUAACACAUGCAAGUCGAACGGUGAAGCAGAGCUUGCUCUGUGGAUCAGUGGCGAACGGGUGAGUAACACGUGAGCAAUCUGCCCCUGACUCUGGGAUAAGCGCUGGAAACGGCGUCUAAUACCGGAUACGAGCUGCGACCGCAUGGUCAGUAGCUGGAAAGAAUUUCGGUCAGGGAUGAGCUCGCGGCCUAUCAGCUUGUUGGUGAGGUAAUGGCUCACCAAGGCGUCGACGGGUAGCCGGCCUGAGAGGGUGACCGGCCACACUGGGACUGAGACACGGCCCAGACUCCUACGGGAGGCAGCAGUGGGGAAUAUUGCACAAUGGGCGCAAGCCUGAUGCAGCAACGCCGCGUGAGGGAUGACGGCCUUCGGGUUGUAAACCUCUUUUAGCAGGGAAGAAGCGAAAGUGACGGUACCUGCAGAAAAAGCGCCGGCUAACUACGUGCCAGCAGCCGCGGUAAUACGUAGGGCGCAAGCGUUAUCCGGAAUUAUUGGGCGUAAAGAGCUCGUAGGCGGUCUGUCGCGUCUGCUGUGAAAACCCGAGGCUCAACCUCGGGCCUGCAGUGGGUACGGGCAGACUAGAGUGCGGUAGGGGAGAUUGGAAUUCCUGGUGUAGCGGUGGAAUGCGCAGAUAUCAGGAGGAACACCGAUGGCGAAGGCAGAUCUCUGGGCCGUAACUGACGCUGAGGAGCGAAAGGGUGGGGAGCAAACAGGCUUAGAUACCCUGGUAGUCCACCCCGUAAACGUUGGGAACUAGUUGUGGGGUCCAUUCCACGGAUUCCGUGACGCAGCUAACGCAUUAAGUUCCCCGCCUGGGGAGUACGGCCGCAAGGCUAAAACUCAAAGGAAUUGACGGGGACCCGCACAAGCGGCGGAGCAUGCGGAUUAAUUCGAUGCAACGCGAAGAACCUUACCAAGGCUUGACAUAUAGAGGAAACGUCUGGAAACAGUCGCCCCGCAAGGUCUCUAUACAGGUGGUGCAUGGUUGUCGUCAGCUCGUGUCGUGAGAUGUUGGGUUAAGUCCCGCAACGAGCGCAACCCUCGUUCUAUGUUGCCAGCACGUAAUGGUGGGAACUCAUGGGAUACUGCCGGGGUCAACUCGGAGGAAGGUGGGGAUGACGUCAAAUCAUCAUGCCCCUUAUGUCUUGGGCUUCACGCAUGCUACAAUGGCCGGUACAAAGGGCUGCAAUACCGUGAGGUGGAGCGAAUCCCAAAAAGCCGGUCCCAGUUCGGAUUGAGGUCUGCAACUCGACCUCAUGAAGUCGGAGUCGCUAGUAAUCGCAGAUCAGCAACGCUGCGGUGAAUACGUUCCCGGGUCUUGUACACACCGCCCGUCAAGUCAUGAAAGUCGGUAACACCUGAAGCCGGUGGCCCAACCCUUGUGGAGGGAGCCGUCGAAGGUGGGAUCGGUAAUUAGGACUAAGUCGUAACAAGGUAGCCGUACCGGAAGGUGCGGCUGGAUCACCUCCUUU
rnacentral:rRNA from 3 species